rnacentral:rRNA from 1 species
CACCAGUGGCGAAGGCGACUUACUGGUCUGUAAUUGACGCUGAGGCUCGAAAGCGUGGGUAGCAAACAGGAUUAGAUACCCUGGUAGUCCACGCCGUAAACGAUGAGUGCUAAGUGUUGGGAGGUUUUCCGCCUCUCAGUGCUGGAGUUAACGCAUUAAGCACUCCGCCUGGGGAGUACGGCCGCAAGGCU